rnacentral:rRNA from 1 species
GACAGAGGAUGCAAGCGUUAUCCGGAAUGAUUGGGCGUAAAGCGUCUGUAGGUGGCUUUUCAAGUCCGCCGUCAAAUCCCAGGGCUCAACUCUGGACAGGCGGUGGAAACUACCAAGCUGGAGUACGGUAGGGGCAGAGGGAAUUUCCGGUGGAGCGGUGAAAUGCGUAGAGAUCCGGAGGAACACCAAAGGCGAAGGCAGUGUCCUGGGGAGUACCUGACGCUCAGGUGCGAAAGCCAGGGGAGCGAACGGG